UACAGAGGGUGCAAGCGUUACUCGGAAUCACUGGGCUUAAAGCGUUCGUAGGCGGAUCUGUAGGCGCGUUGUGAAAGCCCUCGGCUCAACCGGGGAACUGCUUCGCGAACCACAGAUCUUGAGUCAAGUAGGGGCGAUCGGAACGAUAGGUGGAGCGGUGAAAUGCGUAGAUAUCUAUCGGAACGCCGAAGGUGAAGACAGGUCGCUGGGCUUGUACUGACGCUGAGGAACGAAAGCGUGGGGAGCAAACAGG
rnacentral:rRNA from 1 species